CACGAACACAUGUCUGUCGUGGGCUAGUUCAGUGGCCCUCAUUGCUUCUCUUGAAUUCAUUGUUCUUUUUUUUAAGGAAAUUUGCAAAAAAGUCUUCCUUAAUGUGUUGUCUGGAGCCAAAAGACACUCGUAAAUGAACUUAGAAAGCCUUUUUGUCUUUGAUCUAGUAAAUACAGAAUGACAGCACUCACCAUAUGUUGAAGUCCGCUGGAUAAAGUAGCUUCGUGUGGGAGUCUUAUUUAUAGAAAGUCCUGCCUUUAAUGUGUGACGUAGGUGUGACGUCACGUUCCGGCCUCUGAUCGUGAAUGUUGGCGCUGUAUUCAAGAGGAAAGCCCCGCCCCCCCUUUCAAUGGGUCCUAACGGUAUAGGCUGCCUAAUUGCCUGCCUGCAGUAAACUCGGGGGAAAGGCGCGUUCGAUUUGAGAAUCCGCCGUUUGACGGUCCGCGAUCCGUGGGCGGGGCUUAUCGGGUGCGCGCGGCCGAACCGAGGGCGACGGAACCAACGGAUCCGCCCCGGAGUCGACGCUAUGUGGGGAAGAAGACUCGAAUCAACGACACUCACCGGCCAACACGUCCUCGCUCACUGACGCGCGAGCGCUCUGUCUACGUCACUAAACGUUUUUCACAGGUUGCACUUUAUUGUUGUGGUGAGCACGGUGUGGUGAAGCCAGGUCACCGGCGGCUCAUCUCAGGGAUCUCAGCCUCCUUGUGGGCUCUAUUACUGGCAGAAGACCCUGAACCUCCAUAGGAGUGAAUGAAGCUCCAUCAGAACCAGAGCUGCUCCUCAAGGGGACCAAGAAGAACCUCGUGACCUCCACCGUGACCUCCACCACCGUGACUCAUCAAUAAACCACUUCACGAGUCUUUAA